CCCUUAGAUGUUCUGGGCCGCACGCGUGCUACACUGAGUGGAUCAGCGGGUCAGGUUGCGCGAAAGUGUUUCCUAAUCUUUAAAUCCGCUCGUGAUGGGGAUUGACGGUUGCAAUUUUCCGUCAUGAACGAGGAAUACCUUGUAAGCGCGGGUCAUCAUCCCGCGCUGAAUACGUCCCUGCCCUUUGUACACACCGCCCGUCGCUCCUACCGAUGAAUGGUCCGGUGAGGACUCAGGAUGCCUUUUGUCUCGGUUCGCCGUACAAAAGUGUCAGAAUUUGUUCAAACCUUAUCAUUUAAAGGAAGGAGAAGUCGUAACA
rnacentral:rRNA from 1 species